rnacentral:rRNA from 1 species
AACGAACGCUGGCGGCGUGGAUAAGACAUGCAAGUUGAACGCUAAUUUCGGUGUAGCAAUACAUCGGAGUUGGAGUAGCGCAAGGGUGCGUAACACGUGGGUAAUUUGCCGUGAAGUUGGGGAUAACUCGCUGAAAGGCGAGCUAAUACCGAAUGUGAAGUUUGGGUGGCAUCACCUGACCUUUAAAGCUGGGGAUCGUAAGACCUGGCGCUUUAUGAUAAGCCCGCGGCCAUCAGCUAGUUGGUGAGGUAACGGCUCACCAAGGCUAAGACGGGUAGCUGGUCUGAGAGGACGACCAGCCACACUGGAACUGAGACACGGUCCAGACACCUACGGGUGGCAGCAGUCGAGAAUUUUUCUCAAUGGGCGCAAGCCUGAAGGAGCGACGCGCGUGUGGGAUGAAGGGUUUCGAUCCGUAAACCACUGUCAUUUGUGAACAAUGGUUAUCCGUGAAUAACGGAUGACUUGAUAGUAAUGAAAGAGG